UACGUAGGGUGCAAGCGUUGUCCGGAAUUAUUGGGCGUAAAGGGCUCGUAGGCGGUCUGUCGCGUCGGAUGUGAAAUCCCAGGGCUCAACCCUGGGCCUGCAUUCGAUACGGGCAGACUAGAGUUCGGUAGGGGAGACUGGAAUUCCUGGUGUAGCGGUGAAAUGCGCAGAUAUCAGGAGGAACACCGGUGGCGAAGGCGGGUCUCUGGGCCGUAACUGACGCUGAGGAGCGAAAGCGUGGGGAGCGAACAGG
rnacentral:rRNA from 1 species